ensembl:snoRNA small nucleolar RNA SNORA2/SNORA34 family
CUGGCCCUGAAUCAAGGCUGGCAGCUUCCUGAUGCUGACGGUUUCAAACAGGAACCUAAAGAGAUGUCUUUUUAUGGUUUAUUGGCCAUUUUAGAAUUUGGGCAGUAAAAUAGUCAAUUCAUUAGAAAGAAACAACU